AGGAUUAUAGUUAAUUAUAACGUUUAAUUUGCAAUUAAAAAGUAUUGAAAUAUCAAUUUAUCUUA
rnacentral:tRNA from 1 species